AGAGUUUGAUCCUGGCUCAGAUUGAACGCUGGCGGCAUGCCUUACACGUGCAAGUCGAACGGUAACAGGUCUUCGGAUGCUGACGAGUGGCGAACGGGUGAGUAAUACAUCGGAACGUGCCCGAUCGUGGGGGAUAACGAGGCGAAAGCUUUGCUAAUACCGCAUACGAUCUACGGAUGAAAGCGGGGGAUCUUCGGACCUCGCGCGGACGGAGCGGCCGAUGGCAGAUUAGGUAGUUGGUGGGAUAAAAGCUUACCAAGCCGACGAUCUGUAGCUGGUCUGAGAGGAUGAUCAGCCACACUGGGACUGAGACACGGCCCAGACUCCUACGGGAGGCAGCAGUGGGGAAUUUUGGACAAUGGGCGCAAGCCUGAUCCAGCCAUGCCGCGUGAGUGAAGAAGGCCUUCGGGUUGUAAAGCUCUUUCGGCCGGGAAGAAAUCGUGUUCUCUAACAUAGGGCAUGGAUGACGGUACCGGACUAAGAAGCACCGGCUAACUACGUGCCAGCAGCCGCGGUAAUACGUAGGGUGCGAGCGUUAAUCGGAAUUACUGGGCGUAAAGCGUGCGCAGGCGGUUUUGUAAGACAGAUGUGAAAUCCCCGGGCUUAACCUGGGAACUGCGUUUGUGACUGCAAGGCUAGAGUACGGCAGAGGGGGGUGGAAUUCCUGGUGUAGCAGUGAAAUGCGUAGAUAUCAGGAGGAACACCGAUGGCGAAGGCAGCCCCCUGGGCCUGUACUGACGCUCAUGCACGAAAGCGUGGGGAGCAAACGUGAUUAGAUACCCGGUAGUCCACGCCCUAAACGAUGUCGACUAGUCGUUCGGAGCAGCAAUGCACUGAGUGACGCAGCUAACGCGUGAAGUCGACCGCCUGGGGAGUACGGCCGCAAGGUU
rnacentral:rRNA from 1 species